GACGAACGCUGGCGGCGUGCUUAACACAUGCAAGUCGAACGGAAAGGCCCUGCUUUUGUGGGGUGCUCGAGUGGCGAAAGGGUGAGUAACACGUGAGUAACCUGCCCUUGACUUUGGGAUAACUUCAGGAAACUGGGGCUAAUACCGGAUAGGAGCUCCUGCUGCAUGGUGGGGGUUGGAAAGUUUCGGCGGUUGGGGAUGGACUCGCGGCUUAUCAGCUUGUUGGUGGGGUAGUGGCUUACCAAGGCUUUGACGGGUAGCCGGCCUGAGAGGGUGACCGGCCACAUUGGGACUGAGAUACGGCCCAGACUCCUACGGGAGGCAGCAGUGGGGAAUAUUGCACAAUGGGCGGAAGCCUGAUGCAGCAACGCCGCGUGCGGGAUGACGGCCUUCGGGUUGUAACCCGCUUUCGCCUGUGACGAAGCGUGAGUGACGGUAAUGGGUGAAGAAGCACCGGCUAACUACGUG
rnacentral:rRNA from 1 species